AUGAAUAAAUAUUAUAAAUCACAGGACUAGAGAAGCAUGUGACCAGGAGGGUGGGAACCUGACCAAGAGGCUCAUUUAAAAGAGGAAUGAUGAACCUGUGGGAUGUAGAACAGGUGCACAGUUCAAGCUCAGAGACUAAUUUCAUACUGUAGUGUGUAACGCUCAAGAAUCAUGAAGAUGCUGCUUGUGACUCUGGCUCUUGCCCUUCUGCUGACCAGUGGUUCUGCCCUUAAAUGUCACAAGUGUACUCCUGAUGGAAAAUGUUCUAUUGAAACCUGUACCAGUGGUCAAGACACCUGUGUUGCCACAAGGGUGUUUACCCCCA